AGAAUCAAAUGUUUAUAAUUAAUUAAUUAAGAGGUUUUAUGUUUCACGUAAAGAACUAAUCAAUAUGUGCACUGGUGAUAGAAAAUGAGGUAAAGUAAGGGAGUGCUUUCACUUUCGAUUUUUUGCUUUACUUGAAACAAAUCAUUUACAAUUUAAGUGCGCUAUGGAUUCUUUUUCUUCUGACCCGUUGAUGUGAAAUGUCCCAAAAAAUAUAAUUAAGCUGGC
rnacentral:misc_RNA from 1 species